CGGAGCGUAGCGCAGCCUGGUAGCGCACCUGCUUCGGGAGCAGGGGGUCGCGAGUUCGAAUCUCGCCGCUCCGACCA
rnacentral:tRNA from 1 species